AGGCAGUGAUGAAAAAAACAUUUCUCGAUGCUGAUUUAGUCUGUGAGACUAAUUGCGAGUAUACAAUCAUCUGUAUACUUUCUUGAUGACUGCAUUUGUGCGUGUCUGAGCCUC
rnacentral:snoRNA from 1 species